UGGCCCAAUUAAAAAUAUCAUAUUGGGUUUGCUAAAUUUAAUUACCAGAAUCAUGUAUUUUUGGUUUUUUUGGUACAUUUUCAUUAGUUUAGAUUAUUACUAUUUAAUUAUUACUUUAAAAUAUACUUUAGAUCACAAAAGUUAUAGUAUAAUUUAAUAAAACACCCACAAUUGGCAAACUUGAUACUCAAAUAUUUUUAAUAAUGUUUGGUGAAAUAGAAAAGUUGUUCCAAAACCUAUACAUCAUCAUAAUUUCUACUUGGACACUAAACAAACUAAACAAAAUACAUCAAUCUCAAA
rnacentral:lncRNA from 1 species